GUCUACAGCCAUGCUACCCUGAACAAGCCUGAUCCCGUCUGAUCUUGGAAGCUAAGCAGGGUCAGGCCUUGGAUGGGAGACAACCUAGGAAGAGCAGGUGCUAUAGGUG
rnacentral:rRNA from 1 species